ensembl:lncRNA
GUUUAUUUUCUUACUGUAAAGAAAAAGAGAAGUGACUGAGAUAUUUUGCCUGUGAAGUUGCAUGGAUGUCUGGGCUAGUCACUGUAGUGGUUGGAGCAACAGUAAUGAAGCCAAGGGUUUAGUCUGUCCUUAAACCUGUUAGCUUCACUGUCUGGCCACAAAUAAUCCUCCUAAUGUGACUUGCAAAUGCCAAACAUUGGUCCUGAGAACGGGUGGAGAAGUACAGAUGGCUCAGUGUGUAUCUGUCACCCCCAGUGGGGAAGUAAUACUGAGUGCAUGCUGAUAGCUCAUUCUCGGCAUGGACAAAUGGCUUCCUUUCUGGUUGUGUUGAAAGUCAAAGGUUUUUCUUAUUAUAAAAAGAUGCUCUUUAAAUUAAUGUUUGCUUUUGCUCUGAUGUGAGAAGAGGAAAAAAAAAGUGUGAAUUGCAAAGACCCUUUCUAGCUGAGAUGAAACAAGAAGGAUAGGCGACAAGCCGAGAGGGCAUCUGUGGUUUCUGUUUGGCCACAGAUCCUGGGGUUACAGAAAGACACCUUCAUUCCGUUACAGCAGUGAUGGUGCAGAUUCAGAAAGGAAGUGCAAACCUCCAAGGUCGUGGACUUUCUCUGAGAAGAAAAAAGAUCUAAUGAAGGAAGCCACAAAGAGAUGGCAAGGGAACCAAGGCAGGAAUGAGUCUGUCGAUAGCAAUUUCCACUGGCCUUUGUUAUGUGCAAGACAAAGAGGCGACAUCUAAGGCUGAGUCCUUCAAGGACAAUGAUAAACCAACAGAGCUUUCCCAAGCAUCUGCAGUAGGUUCACAGAUUAACUGGGUCAGCGUCUCAUUUGCAACUCAGCUGGUGAAUGAUUCUCCUGCCCUUCAGAUAUGUUUGACAGUUUGUUCUCUGUGCUUUGAGGAAUCCAUGAAGACAAUUGAUCAGUUAAGAAUGGAUUCCAUGAAGAAGAAAAGAGAGAAAAAGAGAAGAGAAGAAGUCACUGCCAGGAUGAUUCACGUUGGGAAUAAGAGGCCAAACCCUGACUACCAGAUUUCCUGAGCGUGGUGCUGGUGAAGUAUUUGUAAACAAAAUAACUACUUCAGAUGGACCAGAAGAGAGAAAGGACUGUUGCAGGUUGCUGAAGAUAACCUUGACUGUGUUUUUUAAGGUAUGCCCACGUCUGCUAACCCCAGGGAACUACUGGACACAACAUAUUUGACUGGUUUGCUGAUUUCCAGAACAGCCAAUAGUAGUGUAACUGAGCAGAGAAACAAUGCUAUUAGAAGGGGCAUGGUGGGAGUGAGACUGGCCCUUCAGUUUGCAUGGGACCUGGGUGAAGCCUGUGACUGCUGGCUUUCCCCUGCUUCCCUGACAACCUGCAUGACUCAGCAGAGGCAGCCAUAAUCCUGCUAGGUACACAACUCCAUUGACCUUGCAACAUCACCCGCAUCCCCCAGAGCAGCCACAGCAAGACCUGCUCAAGGAGAGUCUGAGCUCAGACAUGCUUAGCCUUGCCCCGACCUGAUGGGCCUUUCCUAUCCACCCUGGUAGCUGAAGACAAAGGGCAUAUACUCUUAGGAGUUCUAGGGCCCCACCCACUGCCAUUUUCUCUCAGUACUACCACAGCUGAUGUUCUCUGGAAAGAGCCACCUUCUGGCUGUAGGUCAACCAGCACAAACAUAGAACAUUAAGCCACCAAAGCUAAAAACCCUCAUAGAGUCCAUUUCAACACCCUGCCACCUCCAUGGGAACAGGUACUUGUAUCCACACUGAGAGACCCAUAGAUGGUUCACAUCACAGGACUAUGUGCAGACAAUCGCCAGUACCAGCCUGGAGCCGGGUAGACUUGCUAGGUGGCUAGACCCAGAAGAGAGAAAACAAUCACUGCAGCUUGGCUCACAGGAAGCCACAUCCAUAGGAAAAGAGGAAGAGUACUACAUCAAGGGAACACCCCAUGGGACAAAAGAAUCUGAACAACAGCCCUCAGCCCUAAACUUUCCCUCUUACAGAGCCUACACAAAUGAGAAGGAACCAGAAAACCAACUCUGGUAAUAUGACAAAACAAGGCUCUUUAACACCCCCUAAAAAUCACUCUUGCUCACCAGCAGUGGACCCAAACCAAGAAGAAAUCCCUGAUCUACCUGAAAAAGAAUUCAAGAGGUUAGUUAUCAAGCUAAUCAGGGACACACCAGAGAAAUGCAAAGCCCAAUGCAAGGAAAUACAAAAAAAACGAUGCAAGAAUUGAAGGGAGAAAUAUUCAAGGAAAUAGAUAGCAUAAAGAAAAACAAUGAAAACUUCAGGAAACAUCGGACACACCUAUAGAAAUGCAAAAUGCUCUGGAAAGUCUCAGCAGUAGAAUUGAUUAAGUAGAAGAAGAAAUUCAGAGCUCGAAGAAAAGGUCUUCGAAUUAACCCAUCCGACAAAGACAAAGAAAAACAAGAAAAUAUGAACACAGCCUUCAAGAAGUCUGGGAUUAUGUUAAGGGAACAAACCUAAGAAUAAUCAGUGUUCCAGAGGAAGAAGAGAAAUCUAAAAGUUUUGAAAACAUAUUUGGAGGAAUAAUCAAGGAAAACUUCUCUGGCCUUGCUAGAGACCUAGACAUGCAAAUACAAGAAGCACAAAGAACACCUGUGAAAUUCAUCACAAAAAGAUCAUCAUCUAGGCACGUUGUCAUCAGGUUAUCUAAAGUUAAGACAAAGGAAAUAAUUUUAAGAGCUGUGAGACAAAAGCACUCAGGUAACCUAUAAAGGAAACCUAUCAGAUUAACAGUAGAUUUCUCAGCAGAAACCCUACAAAGCUAGAAGGGAUUGGGGCCCUAUCUUUAGCCUCCUCAAACAAAACAAUUAUCAGCCAAGAAUUUUGUAUCCAGCAAAACUAAGCAUCAUAUAUGAAGGAAAGAUACAGUCUUUUUCAGACAAACAAAUGCUGAGAGAAUUCGCCACUACCAAGCCACUACUAUAAGAACUGCUAAAAGGAGCUCUAAAUAUUCAAACAAAUCCUAGAAACACAUAAAAACAGAAACUCUUUAAAGCAUGAAUCACACAGGACCUAUAAAACAAAAAUGCAAGUUAAAAAGCAAAAAUAAAAAAACAAACAAACAAACAAGGUGCACAAGCAACAACUAGCACAAUGAAUUCAAAGGUACCUCACAUCUCAAUACUAACAUUGAAUAUAAAUGGCCUAAAUGUUCCCCUUAAAAGAUACAGAACUGCAGAAUGGAUAAGAACUCACCAACUAUCUGCUGCCUACAGGAGACUCACCUAACACAUACAGACUCACAUAAACUUAAAGGGGUGGAAAAAGGUAUUUCAUGCAAAUGGACACCAAAAGUGAGCAGGGGAAGCUAUUCUUGUAUCAGACAAAACAAACUCUAAAGCAACAGCAGUUAAAGGAG